GCCUCCUGUUUUCAUAGUGCUCGUUAGCGAGACCAAAGAAGCGGCAAACUAUCAGUAACAAGUGGUGGAUAAUUCUUGAUUUAAAACUUUAUUUGAAAAAGGUUAAACAUGAUAUACAUGGUGACGUACUUGACGUGCCUUCUCCUGUUGACGUCAUUUCCGGCGUCGACAAUCGCAUCAUCGUCAUCAACGGAUCGUCCCGCGUUUUGUGACGAGUUUCCGACGUACAUCCGUGAUCCCACGCAGACGCCAAUGCUGCUAGCCGCCCUGAUCUUCUUUAACCCGCGAACCGGAAAGUGCCAGUUCCAGACGCUAGCUACAGGCAUAGUGGCGCCAGGCGAGAACAGCUUCCGGAAUUUUCGAGAAUGCAUGAUUACUUGCAAGCAGCCGCUGCCGCCGUUCGCGCAGGAAAAAUAACUUUAAAAAAUGUCAUCAAAUGACAGCUGAAUCUGCUGAAAAUAAACUACGAGCAAAACAGACGUCACCAAUUGAAACUGAAAUUACUCAAUUUAUUACUGAAAUAAACUACGCACAAAAUAA